rnacentral:lncRNA from 1 species
CUUUCUCUCUUCGCCUGCUGCCGUCCAUGUAAGAUGGGACUUGCUCCUCCUUGCCUUCCACCAUGAUUGUGAGGCUUCCUCAGCCACGUGGAACUAUGCCCUGACCUUCCGGGAAACCCUCGGUGAGAGGCCCACAGCCUCGCUUCUAGGGUCACCACUGCUUCUUCCAGUCUAGCCAAACAGCUCCUAGUACAGCUCAGAGCACCCUGCAAGGAGGGCACGUGUUAAAUCGAGGAGCACACAUGCUCCACGAGGAAUUCUUUGCUUUGAGGCCAUGCACAGAGGUGGGUUCACUAUGAAGCUUGUGAAAUAAGCUUCAGGGCCCGCAUUUGCAUGGGCCACAGAGAGUCUGGGAGCUGCAGAAGGUUCAAGGGAAGAGGAGCCAUCACAAGCAGAAUAUUCUAGAAGGCAUUUCUGGCAAAUGGCCCAAAGAGGCCUCAGGAGAAAAGAACUUGAGUCUUCAAGGAUGCAAUGAGAAGGCACCAUCUGUGAGGAACAGGCCUCCGACAGACACCGAAUUUGCUGGCACUUUGAUCUUGGACUUCCCAGCCUCCAAAAUUAUCCAUAAUGGAUUCCUGGGACAUUUUCAGAUCUCCUUCCAGCUUCCUCUUCGCCCUUUCCAAGUCCGCCCGCAGUUUCUUCUCCUGCUCUAAGGAACCCUCAAGCUGAGAAGACACACAGAUGGAGUCUCGCUGCGAUGCCCAGGCUGGAGUGCAAUGGUGCAAUCUUGGCUCACUGCAACCUUCGUUUCCCAGGUUUAAGCAAUUCUCCUGCCUCAGCCUCCCAAGUAUCUGGGACUACAGGCGAGCGUCACCAUGCCUGGCUAAUUUUUGUAUUUUUAGUAGAGAUGUUUAGUAGAGAGUUUCACCAUAUUGGCCAGGCUGGUCUUGAACUCCUGACCUCAAGGGAUCCGCCCACCUUGGCCUCUCAAAGUGCUGGGAUUACAGGCGUGAGCCACCGUGCCUGGCAAUGUUUGUAGUUUCUUUCAUGAAUUUACCUCCUUUUAUUCUUUAAUCCCUGCUUAUCUCUAAAGAGUAAGUAACUGAAAGUAAUAAAACGGAAUUUUCUCAACAAUAUUUUAUAAGUUGAUUUCUUUUUCUUUCCUACAGGAAACAACCCAAUUUGCCAUCUUAAUUUGGAGUCUACUUUUUCUGAAUGACUCAGUUUUCUCUGAUACUUAAUCAAGAUGCAGCCUUGGGGGAAAAUGUCAUGUCCCAGUCUCCCCCAUGUUCCUUUCCCUUCAUCCCACUUUGUCCCCGGGGUCUAGCAUGACUGUGUGUUUGGAUUGGGGAAGUGAAGGCAGGAAAGUCGCUUCCCCAAAUCCGCAUCCACACAGGGUCUUAUGUUAGAGUUGAUGUUAUCUCUAGGCGAGGUUAUGCAAUGUAGUUACAGAGACAUUGUGAUUAGAUUCAAAGAAAAUGAUUUUCAUCAUUGAAGUUUACGCAUGUGCCCAUUUCCUAUUUAUUACAUUCCCUGGCCCAGAGGACAUUAGGCUUUCAUUUUUAAAAAAUGAUCUCAUUAUCUAAUGAAUAAUUAUAUUUCAUAUAUUUUAUUAAUUUAUUAAAUGUAUGCAUUUAAAAUGGCAUAUAAUGUUAAAACUCUAUGUUGGCUACUAUUUAAAAGUAUAUUUACUGGUAAUCUUAAAAAGUGUUACUGGCUUGUGUUACUUAUUUAUUUGUUUGAGAUAGGGUCUCACUCUGUCAUCCGGGCUGGAGUACAGUGGCCCAAUCAUGGCUCGCUGCAAUUUCAGCCACCCAAUCUCAUGUGAUCCUCCCAGCUCAGGUUCCCAAGUAGCUGGACUACAGGUGUGCACCACCACUUUUGGCUAAUUAUUUUAUUUUAUCUUAUUUUAUUUUGUUUUAGAGACAGGAUCUCUAUGUUGCCCACACUGGUCUUGAACUCCUGGCCUCAAAUGAUCCUUCUGCCUCAGCGUCCCAAAGUGUUGGGAUUACAGGUGUAAGCCACCACGCCUGGCCCCUGUGUAACCACUCUGGAAAAGAGUUCAGAAGUUACUCAAAAUUUUGAACACAGUUAUCAUAUGACCCAGCAACUCUACUCCUAGGUACCGUAUAUAUAUACCGUGUAUACCCAAAAGAAUUGCCAAUAUAUAUUCACAUAUAAACUUCUAUACAAAUGUUCAUAGCAACAUCAUGCACAGUAGCCAGAAAGUUCAUCGGCUGAUGAAUGUGCAGACAAAAUGUGAUAUAUUCAUACAAUGAACUAUUAUUUGUCCAUAAGAAAGAACAAAGUCCUGAUACAUGCUACAACAGGGCCAGACCUUGAGAACAGUAACCUGAAAGAAGCCAGACACAAAAGAGCAUCCAGUAUAUAAUUCCAUUCACAUGAAAUGCCCAGAUAGGCAAAUCUACAGGGACAGAAAGUUGAUGAGUGGUUGCCAGAGGCUAGGGAUAGAAAUCUGCUCAUGGGGACAGGCAUGAUGGCUCGUGCCUAUAAUCCCAGCACUUUGGGAGGUCGAGGCG